AUUGAACGCUGGCGGCAGGCCUAACACAUGCAAGUCGAACGAGUGGCGGACGGGUGAGUAAUGUCUGGGAAACUGCCUGAUGGAGGGGGAUAACUACUGGAAACGGUAGCUAAUACCGCAUACCAUCGGAUGUGCCCAGAUGGGAUUAGCUAGUUGGUGGGGUAACGGCUCACCAAGGCGACGAUCCCUAGCUGGUCUGAGAGGAUGACCAGCCACACUGGAACUGAGACACGGCCCAGACUCCUACGGGAGGCAGCAGUGGGGAAUAUUGCACAAUGGGCGAAAGCCUGACGCAGCCAUGCCGCGUGUAUGAAGAAGGCCUUCGGGUUGUAAAGUACUUUCAGGGGGGAGGCGUUACCCACAGAAGAAGCACCGGCUAACUCCGUGCCAGCAGCCGCGGUAAUUC
rnacentral:rRNA from 1 species